AACGAACGCUGGCGGCAUGCCUAACACAUGCAAGUCGAACGAGACCUUCGGGUCUAGUGGCGCACGGGUGCGUAACACGUGGGAACCUGCCCUUAGGUUCGGAAUAACUCCCCGAAAGGGGUGCUAAUACCGGAUAAUGUCUUCGGACCAAAGAUUUAUCGCCUUUGGAUGGGCCCGCGUUGGAUUAGCUAGUUGGUAGGGUAAAAGCCUACCAAGGCGACGAUCCAUAGCUGGUCUGAGAGGAUGAUCAGCCACACUGGGACUGAGACUCGGCCCAGACUCCUACGGGAGGCAGCAGUGGGGAAUAUUGGACAAUGGGCGAAAGCCUGAUCCAGCAAUGCCGCGUGAGUGAUGAAGGCCUUAGGGUUGUAAAGCUCUUUUACCCGGGAUGAUAAUGACAGUACCGGGAGAAUAAGCUCCGGCUAACUCCGUG
rnacentral:rRNA from 1 species